rnacentral:sRNA from 1 species
CUCAAGGCCCUCUCAGGCCAUUAUGCUUUUGCAUAUGCUGUCCCUGGUCCCGGAAGCACCCUCUGCCAGCCUGCCCCCAGCACACGCCUAAUUGCCCUUCCAUGCUCCUCUGGGAGUCCUCCCUGCCCAGAAUAUUGUUGGAUGCUCCCCCCAUGCCCCCACGGAGUCUGUACAUAUCUGUGCCAUGCCAGUUCACAGCACUCCAUUGUAACUGUUUGCAUGUCUGUCCCUGUCACUCCACCCCCGUCUCCCUAUGCCCAUGAGGUCCCAGAGGGCUGGGACUGUGGCUUGUUCAUUUGCGUCGUGCCUGGCACUCACUAGGGACUUGAUGAAUGAAUGAAUGUGGAAUGUGGUUCGCACAGCCAGGGAGAAUGGGAUACAAGCCAGGGCAAGAACAGUCUACUGGGUGGGGCAGGAUCCACGACAAGGAGGUGAGCAGCCCUUCCUCUGGCCACUCAAGCAGUGGGGACUGGGAGGAGGGGCGCUUUGUCUACAUAGCCUUUUUAUGGCCCAUCAUGGUACAGACAGCGCACCUGCCUCCUGCCACGCUGACUUCAGGACUGGUGGAGCCCCAGGGAACAUUUGCAGGGCAGCCAAACUUUGGCCCUGGCCCUGGCGCUGGCCCUGUCCCUGAGGAUGACAGAAAGUGUGCUGGAUACAGUCAGACAGAACUGGCUGCCAUUUUGGAUUUGAUCCCUUCCACCUGGGCGAGCUUGGGCAAGUUGCUUAAUCUUUCUGAGCCUCAUUGCCUCACCAGGGACACAGGAGCUGAGGCUGCUUCCCUCUUUGGAAAGCACUGAAGCCCAGGACUCGGCCCACAGUAGGCCUUCAACAAAUACCACUUCUCACCCUACGGGUGAAAUAUGGCACUGGAAGUAAUGCUUUUGGCUGUGGGAGCUACAGAAAGCAAUGAGGUCUCUAUCAAACCCAGCCUCCUCUCUCUCGAGAGGAACCAGUGGGGAUACCCUACCCCUCAACCCCAAAGCCCUGUGCACCUGAGGGUAAAAAUCUGGGUGCCACAGGCUCAGGAAGGCUUGCUUGGGAGCAAGAGGGAGGUGGGUGUGUCUGGGGAGGCAUUUCUGAGCACAAGAGCCUCCCCGGAGUUCUGCCAUUGUCUCUCCCCAUUCUUUGGUGCCCGCGAUAACCACCGUUCUGACUCUCCUCACCAAUCCAGCCUCCCAGCGUGCGGCCUGCCAACUCGGCUCCCAUUGUAAGUCUCUUGCUUUCUUUUUGGAUCCUCUUGAUUUUGGCUCUUCUUCUGGGCUCAUGGAGGAUUCAGGGUCAGGAAUUGGGCCUCUCCCAUCGGGAGUGGGGAGGGCAGAGGCCAGGCCCUUGAUCGUCUACCCGGCCUGGUGAGGUUGGUGGGUAAAUGUGGUUGGCUGGCUGUGAUGGAACAACCUGAGUUGCCACUCCAUGGUCAGCCACGGAAGACCAUACCCCACAUUCACUUCUCUCACCUGCAAAGGGAGGCUAGGCUGAGAGACGUUUCCCCGAGAGGAAAGAUGGGCCAGAGCCACCAGUGUCCCCAUCUGUCUUCUCCAGGGUUCUAACCUUUGCCCCUCCCUCAUCCCCUGGACCCGCCCUCCGUGGGGUCUGUGGGGCCACUGGGCUGGUUAUGCCCCCUGGAGGGUGCCUGCCGUGUGGCACCCUCUGGUGGGAACUGGGGACCCAGGAGAGCCUGGGUGAGACCUGGUUUCUUUCUUCCAGACCCAGACAGUCAUCUACAAGGUGCAGAGUGCCUCUGGACAGAUGUUCUCUACUCCCGCCAUCCCACCUAUGAUGUACCCCCACCCUGCCUAUCUGAUGCCUUUCAUCACCACCAUUCCAGGAGGGUUGUACCCAUCCAAGUCCAUCAUCCUGUCAGGCACUGUCCUGCCCAGUGCUCAGAGGUAAGCCAAGGGCUCCAGUGACCUCCGGGAAGAGAGAGCCCUUCAAGGUCAUUCCAACCAUUCCCCUGGCUUUUGGCAGGCUGGGGAUGAUGGGGAGGAAAUGGGGCUCAGAACUCAGUGGACAAAGGUCCAAGUAGGCUGCCCACCCCAGGUUCCACAUCAACCUGUGCUCUGGGAGCCACAUCGCCUUCCACAUGAACCCCCGUUUUGAUGAGAACGCUGUGGUCCGUAACACCCAGAUCAACAACUCUUGGGGGUCUGAGGAGCGAAGUCUGCCCCGAAAAAUGCCCUUCGUCCGAGGCCAGAGCUUCUCGGUGUGGAUCUUGUGUGAAGCUCACUGCCUCAAGGUGGCCGUGGAUGGUCAGCACGUGUUUGAAUACUACCAUCGCCUGAGGAACCUGCCCACCAUCAACAAACUGGAAGUGGGUGGCGACGUCCAGCUGACCCACGUGCAGACAUAGGCGGCUCCCUGGCCCUGGAGCCAGGGGUUGGGGUGUGGGGCAGUCUGGGUCUUAUCAUCAUCCCCACUUCCCAGGCCCAGCCUUUCCACCCGUGCCUAGGAUCUGGGCUUUAAUGCAGAGGCCAUGUCCUUGUCUGGUCCUGCUUCUGGCUACAGCCACCCUGGAACCGAGAAGGCAGCUGACCGGGAUUGCCUUCCUCAGCCGCAGCAGCACCUGGGGCUCCAGCUGCUGGAAUCCUACCAUCCCAGAAGGCGGGCAGUCAGGGAGAGGGGAGAAGCGGGCAGUGAAGAUGACGCCCCGUGCUCAGUCCCCUCCCAUCUCCCACGCAGCUCCACCCCAGUCUCAAGCCACCAGCUAUCUGCUCCUGGUGGGAGAUGGCCUCCUCAGCCCCUCCUCUCUGACCUUUAACCUCACUCUCAUCUUGCACCCUGCACCAACCCUUCACCCCUCCUGGAAAGCAGGCCUGAUGGCUUCCCACUGGCCUCCACCAACUGACCAGAGUGUUCUCUUCAGGGUACUGGCUCCUUUCCCAGUGUCCUUAAAAUAAAGAAAUGAAAAUGCUUGUUGGCUC